UUUUUUUUAUCUACGUUAACAAGCAGCUUAGCUUCAGUGAUUACACACGACUCUGAGAGACGCUAACCUGACACAUCCUCAGGGAUCAGUUUGUCUUACUUUUUACUUGACUGUCUGUGUGUGUGUGUGUGCGCUAAAAACAGAAAUACAAAUACAACAACAGCGUGUUAGCUGUGAGUUCGCUGUGGCUCCCACCUGCAGGAUGGCCCCAUAGAGGCGCAGCAGGAUGCUCCGCGGCUCGUCCCCGACAGUGUCCAGGCUGUCGGAGAGGCUGCACAGGAAGAGCUUGUUGCUCAGACCACCCCUGGAGGAAAAGACAGUGAGGAAAUAUGAUUCAUCAUAAUUCGAAUCGCCUCCGUACGGGAGACGGAAGCGCUUACAACGGAGCCAAAACCGCUCAGUCGUAGCUUCUGUCGCUAGCACGUCUCUUAAAGGGGCAGUAACGGAUUCUGGACACAGCUAGUCUCUCUUUGCUGUUGUUGUUGAUUUUUUUUUGACCGCACCGAUCGGGUCGCGAAACCGCAGCCUCGGGGUCGUGAGACGGACACGAUAGCGAUGAGGCCCAAACCCCUGAGUUGUCGUAGCUUCUGUUGCUAGCGCGUCUCUUAAAGGGGCAGUAAGCAAUUUUGGAGAAAGCUAGUCUCUCUUUGCUGUUGUUGACUUUUUGACUGCACCGGUCUGGCACUCGAACCCGCAGCCUCGGGUUCGGGAGACGGACGCGCUAACAACGAAGCCCAAACCCCUGGGUCGUAGCUUCAUUCGCUAGCGCGUCUCUUAAGGUGUCGGGGAGGCACCUUUUAUUGUGUGUGUUGUUUCUGAUUUACGGAGGCAGGGCUUCGCCGGAAAAAAACAUAUUUUUUUUACCAGUGCACAUGCAGAACCGACAGCUUAUGGACCGAGAGGAAAUAUUUGCAGAAUUUUACCCAAAAAGUACAUUUGAUUAAAAUCGCUUGCUGCACCUUUAACGAUACGCCGUAAAUUCAAACACCACUCAUGUUUUAAUUUUUUUUUUAAUCAUAUAUGGCCUCAGAUAGAUUUGUCAUACAGUGUCAUUACAUUAAAAGCCUAUUUAGUCAAAUCUUGUUGUUCUAACUUUUUUUUCCUCCAACAGCAACAAAAACUAAAAUGGCAGCUGAAGCAAAUAAAAAAAAAAACCCCAAAUUGGCCUCUUCACUAGGCCCUUCGUCCCCACAAUGUUUCAGCUGCGAGGCUGGAGCUCGUGUUGAUGUUGUGAGGUGUCGGGUUACGUCCGUGGAUUAUGAAUUAACAAUCGACCCUGGGAUGAAUUCAGGGACUAGAUAUACGAAACGAGAGCGCUCGCUUUAUGUCCCCUUCGACAGCCUGGUGUCCUUGUUCCGCUAUUCUCCGUGAGCAUCACGAGCACGGAGGAGGAGAGGUGGUGCGACUCUCAUGUCGAACAAUGGAGAGACAUACAUUCUGAGAUAUUCUUUUCAAAAAGAAGAUAUUUGGAGGGGGAGUAAGCGCAGCUUCCACCUCCUGGGCCUACUUUUCCUCCCCGCCCACCCCGCCCCUCCGCCCCUCUCCCCGUGAGCUCACGAAGCGAGCGGACCGCGGCUCGUACCUGAUGACGGUGCAGUGGAAGUCGAGCUCGGCCACACUCUUCCAGGCGCCGUGGAGGAACUCGCGGCACCACAGUUCGAUUCAGAGUCGUCGCUGCUGAUGCUGAUGCUGAGGAAGAGGCGGAUGAGUCACGGAUAACGGCGCCGGGCGGAGACAGCUGCGUUCACGUUAACGAGUGGAGAAGUAGGUGCGUAGCAGCGACGCGCCUCUUUUAAAUGGAGGGUGAGAGCAGGAAGAGGAGGGCGGGGCUUUACCGCGACACGCCCGCGGCCCCUUCUCUCCUCUGAUUGGUCCGGCGCGGACAUAGCCCCCCGCUCAGCCAUAGAGUAAGACAUGAUGGCCUCCUUCAGGGACUGUCGGACAUUACCAAUAGCCAGUACAAAUGACCAAUAAAAACAUGAUACAAAAAUGUUUUUAUUACGUUUUUUUCUUCUCUAACAUUAUCGUCUUGAUUAGAACCUGUUUAUUCUCUUCAUUUAUUUAUUUAGUUGACCUACUAUUUCUAUGUAGACACGUUGAGUUGUUGGAAAUUUUACUGGAACUGAAGAGGCACAUAAUAAUAUAAUAAUAAUAAUAAUAAUAAUAAUAAUGUUAAUAAUACAUUUCAAUUAUAGAGCACUUUUCAUUGCUAAAAGCAAUCUCAAAGGCCUACAGAGUGCAAACAAAAUUAAAAUUAAAAUUUAAAAAAAAAAAAAAAAAGGUUUCCAUAUCACAUCUGUUAAUCUCUCUCUCUUGGUUUUCUGUGCUCCUCGUAACUUGCCAGUUUAAAUUGACAAUAAAGUUUUAAAAAUAAUAAUAAUUUUAUUCAUAUAGCACUUUUCAGAAGCAGCUUCACAAAGUGCUUUCACAAAAAACACACAAAUCACAGACAAUUCAAAUCAGCAUUCCAACAAUAAUACCGUUUUCAGGUCACACAUCUGUAUAUAAAAAGACGACAUCACACAAAAGCAAAUCUAUAGAAAUGGGUUUUUAAAAGUGACUUAAAGAAGGCACAGACUCUGCGGGCCUCGGCUCCACAGUCGAGGGCCCUGAUGGAGAAAGAUCCGUCUCCCUCUAGAUCUGAGCCUCGACUCUGGAACGACUAGUAAAGACCCGCCGGAGGAUCCGAGGCUGCGAGCCGGCUCGUAGGGGAUCAGCAUUUCAUUCAUGCAGCUUGGAGCGAGACCAAGCUGUGCUUUAAAAGUCAUUAGUAAAAUCUUGGAAAUCAAUUCUAAAAUGGCCGGGCAGCCAAUGAAGUGAAGCUAAAAGUGGGGUUGUGUGACGCCGUCUGUUCAAACCAGUGAGAAGCCGAGCGGCUGAGUUUGGGACCAGUCGGGAUGCUUUGUUGACAGCAGAGAGGAGGGAGCUGCAGUCGUCCAGGCGGGAGAAAAUGAGGGUGUGUCCGUUGGACUAGGUCGGGCUGUGGCAAAGGAACAAUAGAAACAUGAUAUGGAAAUGUUUUGUCACGGGUUUUUUUCCUUUAACAUUAUCGCCAUAAUUACAGUCUGUUUAUUCUCUUUAUUCAUUUAUUUAGUUGAUCGACUAGUGACGAGGGACAUUUCUGCCUUGUUUGUAUACAUUACUGUAAAUAAAGUUGAUCUCUUUGUUUUCUGUUGUCCUCGUACCUUGCCAGUUGAAAUUGUCAAUAAAGUCUUAAAAAUGAUA